UAGGGAAUCUUCGGCAAUGGGGGGAACCCUGACCGAGCAACGCCGCGUGAGUGAAGAAGGUUUUCGGAUCGUAAAGCUCUGUUGUUAAGGAAGAACGAGUGUGAGAAUGGAAAGUUCAUGCUGUGACGGUACUUAACCAGAAAGGGACGGCUAACUACGUGCCAGCAGCCGCGGUAAUACGUAGGUCCCGAGCGUUGUCCGGAUUUAUUGGGCGUAAAGCGAGCGCAGGCGGUUAGAAAAGUCUGAAGUUAAAGGCAGUGGCUCAACCAUUGUAGGCUUUGGAAACUGUUUAACUUGAGUGCAGAAGGGGAGAGUGGAAUUCCAUGUGUAGCGGUGAAAGGCGUAGAUAUAUGGAGGAACACCGGUGGCGAAAGCGGCUCUCUGGUCUGUAACUGACGCUGAGGCUCGAAAGCGUGGGGAGCGAACAGG
rnacentral:rRNA from 1 species